UACGAAGGGGGCUAGCGUUGUUCGGAAUCACUGGGCGUAAAGGGCGCGUAGGCGGUUUUGCAAGCCAGAGGUGAAAUGCCUGAGCUCAACUUAGGAAUUGCCUUUGGGACUGCGAGGCUUUGAGGACUGGAGAGGUGAGUGGAAUUCCCAGUGUAGAGGUGAAAUUCGUAGAUAUUGGGAAGAACACCGGUGGCGAAGGCGGCUCACUGGCCAGUUUCUGACGCUGCAGCGCGAAAGCGUGGGGAUCAAACAGG
rnacentral:rRNA from 1 species